rnacentral:rRNA from 1 species
UGGGGAAUAUUGCACAAUGGGCGAAAGCCUGAUGCAGCGACGCCGCGUGAGGGAUGACGGCCUUCGGGUUGUAAACCUCUUUCAGCAGGGAAGAAGCGAAAGUGACGGUACCUGCAGAAGAAGCGCCGGCUAACUACGUGCCAGCAGCCGCGGUAAUACGUAGGGCGCAAGCGUUGUCCGGAAUUAUUGGGCGUAAAGAGCUCGUAGGCGGUUAGUCGCGUCUGCUGUGAAAACUCGAGGCUCAACCUCGGGCUUGCAGUGGGUACGGGCUGACUAGAGUGCGGUAGGGGUGACUGGAAUUCCUGGUGUAGCGGUGGAAUGCGCAGAUAUCAGGAGGAACACCGAUGGCGAAGGCAGGUCACUGGGCCGCAACUGACGCUGAGGAGCGAAAGCAUGGGGAGCGAACAGGAUUAGAUACCCUGGUAGUCCAUGCCGUAAACGUUGGGCACUAGGUGUGGGGUCCAUUCCACGGAUUCCGUGCCGCGGCAAAGCGCAUUAAGUGCCCCGCCUGGGGAGUACGGCCGCAAGGCUAAAACCUCAAAU